rnacentral:rRNA from 1 species
GUGGGGAAUAUUGGUCAAUGGGCGAGAGCCUGAACCAGCCAAGUCGCGUGAAGGAAGAAGGAUCUAUGGUUCGUAAACUUCUUUUGCAGGGGAAUAAAGUGCAGGACGUGUCCUGUUUUGUAUGUACCCUGAGAAUAAGGAUCGGCUAACUCCGUGCCAGCAGCCGCGGUAAUACGGAGGAUCCGAGCGUUAUCCGGAUUUAUUGGGUUUAAAGGGUGCGUAGGUGGUUUGAUAAGUCAGCGGUGAAAGUUUGCAGCUUAACUGUAAAAAUGCCGUUGAAACUGUCGGACUUGAGUGUAAAUGAGGUAGGCGGAAUGCGUGGUGUAGCGGUGAAAUGCAUAGAUAUCACGCAGAACUCCGAUUGCGAAGGCAGCUUACUAAGCUACAACUGACACUGAAGCACGAAAGCGUGGGGAUCAAACAGGAUUAGAAACCCUAGUAGUCC